rnacentral:rRNA from 1 species
AUACGUAGGUGACAAGCGUUAUCCGGAUUUACUGGGCGUAAAGGGCGUGUAGGCGGUCUUGCAAGUCAGAAGUGAAAUUCCUGAGCUCAACUCGGGCGCUGCUUCUGAAACUGCAGGACUUGAGUGCUGGAGGGGAUAGCGGAAUUCCUAGUGGAGCGGUAAAAUGCGCAGAUAUUAGGAAGAACACCGGUGGCGAAGGCGGCUAUCUGGACAGUAAGGGACGUUGAUGCUCGGAAGCGUGGAGAGCAAAAAGCAUUAGAUACCCAGGUAGUCUACGCUGUAAUCGAUGAAUCCUAGGUGUAGGGGGUCUAGACUCGCUCUGUGCCGCAGUUAACACAAUAGGUAUACCGCCUGGGGAGUACCGCCGCAAGGUUGAAACUCAAAUUAACUGACGGGG